rnacentral:rRNA from 1 species
GAUGAACGCUGGCGGCGUGCUUAACACAUGCAAGUCGAACGGAAAGGCUCCUGCUUGCAGGGGUACUCGAGUGGCGAACGGGUGAGUAACACGUGGGUGAUCUGCCCUGCACUUCGGGAUAAGCCUGGGAAACUGGGUCUAAUACCGGAUAGGACCACAUUUUGGAUGGUGUGGUGGAAAGUUUUUCGGUGUGGGAUGAGCUCGCGGCCUAUCAGCUUGUUGGUGGGGUAAUGGCCUACCAAGGCGUCGACGGGUAGCCGGCCUGAGAGGGUGUACGGCCACAGUGGGACUGAGAUACGGCCCAGCCCCCUCCGGGAGGCAGGAUGGGGGAAUAUUGCAAAAUGGGCGCAAGCCUGAUGCAGCUACGCCGGGGGGGGGAUGACGGCCUUCGGGUUGUAAACUCCUUUCGCUAGGGCCGAAGCGUUUUUGUGACGGUACCUGGAGAAGAAGCACCGGCUAACUACGU